UACGUAGGGGGCAAGCGUUGUCCGGAAUUAUUGGGCGUAAAGCGCGUGUAGGCGGCCAGAUAAGUCCGCUGUGAAAUCUCGAGGCUCAACUUCGAGCUGUCGGUGGAAACUGUCUGGCUAGAGUCCGGAAGAGGAGAAUGGAAUUCCUGGUGUAGCGGUGAAAUGCGCAGAUAUCAGGAAGAACACCCGUGGCGAAGGCGGCUCUCUGGGACGUGACUGACGCUGAGACGCGAAAGCGUGGGGAGCGAACAGG
rnacentral:rRNA from 1 species